rnacentral:piRNA from 1 species
UACUAGGGAAAAUGCCAGCUACAAAGACAC